AUUGAACGCUGGCGGCAUGCUUUACACAUGCAAGUCGAACGGUAACAGGCCGCAAGGUGCUGACGAGUGGCGAACGGGUGAGUAAUGCAUCGGAACGUGCCCAGUCGUGGGGGAUAACGCAGCGAAAGCUGCGCUAAUACCGCAUACGAUCUGUGGAUGAAAGCGGGGGACCGAAAGGCCUCGUGCGAUUGGAGCGGCCGAUGUCAGAUUAGGUAGUUGGUGGGGUAAAGGCCCACCAAGCCAACGAUCUGUAGCUGGUCUGAGAGGACGACCAGCCACACUGGGACUGAGACACGGCCCAGACUCCUACGGGAGGCAGCAGUGGGGAAUUUUGGACAAUGGGCGCAAGCCUGAUCCAGCAAUGCCGCGUGCAGGAAGAAGGCCUUCGGGUUGUAAACUGCUUUUGUACGGAACGAAACGGCUCUGGUUAAUACCUGGGGCUAAUGACGGUACCGUAAGAAUAAGCACCGGCUAACUACGUGCCAGCAGCCGCGGUAACAC
rnacentral:rRNA from 1 species